rnacentral:rRNA from 1 species
GACGAACGCUGGCGGCGUGCUUAACACAUGCAAGUCGAACGGAAAGGCCCUGCUUGCAGGGUACUCGAGUGGCGAACGGGUGAGUAACACGUGGGUGAUCUGCCCUGCACUUCGGGAUAAGCUUGGGAAACUGGGUCUAAUACCGGAUAGGAACCAUCUUUAGUGUGGUGGUUGGAAAGUUUUUUCGGUGUAGGAUGAGCUCGCGGCCUAUCAGCUUGUUGGUGGGGUAAUGGCCUACCAAGGCGGCGACGGGUAGCCGGCCUGAGAGGGUGUACGGCCACAUUGGGACUGAGAGACGGCCCAGACUCCUACGGGAGGCAGCAGUGGGGAAUAUUGCACAAUGGGCGCAAGCCUGAUGCAGCGACGCCGCGUGGGGGAUGAAGGCCUUCGGGUUGUAAACUCCUUUCGCUAGGGACGAAGCUUUUUGUGACGGUACCUAGAGAAGAAGCACCGGCUAACUACGUG